CACUUUCAGUGUUCUUUUUGUGUUUUUGCACCUGUUGGAGUAGAUUCUGCUUAAAAAGUACCUUACUAAACGUGCUAUAUAACUCCAAUCAAAUUUCCUACAGAGGCACGUGCUAAAUGUUGCAGCUUCCCUGCCUGCCCUCUCCUGCCAUUUGCUGUUUUCUGAGCAUUCUAAUUUGCCCACCGCUGAUGCUCAUCUCCACUGAUGUGAUUGUAACAUGCAGAUGACCACAAUAGCCAGAGCUGAGCCCAAGUCAAAAGCCUCCUGCAGGUCUCCUACAUGGUUGUAGGGUCCCAAGAACUCAGGUUAACCUCUACUACUCACCCUCCCAGACAAUGAGCAUGAAGCUGGAUUGGAAUUGGAGCAGCAAAGACAAGAACUGGAGCCCAAAUGGGAUCUUGGCACUUGUAGGUGGAGGAUUAGCCUAUUAGGCCACU